UCAUUCUGAGGGCUCCCAUUUUCUAUGUUAAGCAAUAGGUGAAAUUAUCUUCUUUAUUUAUUUUUUGAGAUGGGGUCUCACUCUGUCACCCAGGCUGGAGCCCAGCAGCGUGAAUAUGGCUCAAUGCAGCCUUGACCUCCUAGCCUCAAGUGGUCCUCCCACCUCAGCCUCCCAUGUAACUGGGACCACAGGCUCUCAUUACCAUGCCUGGCUAAUUUAUUUAUUUUUUUGUAGAGAUAGGGCCUUACCAUCUUACCCAGGCUGGUCUCGAACCCCUGGCUCAAGCAAUCCUCCCAUCUUGGCCUCCCAAAGUGCUGGGAUUACAGGCGUGAACGACUACGCCACAGUUGAGUUUAGAAUGUUUAUUUAAAAUCUUGUGACACUGAACUCAAUGACUAGUUCUAGGAAAACUUACUUUUUAAUAGUGUAUUGUGGUGUAAGGCCUGAAAUUAGGAUUCAUAUCAAAUUCUAUCUUUACAUCCAUUUAAAUCAAGAGGGCCUCAAAUGGCUGAACUCCAAGCCUCGCUCCCUGUCUGCUUCCGCAGAUGAGAUUCUCUGGCUAAACACUCUCCUUAUUUUAGGGAUCAGACACAGAGCCUGCUUAUCCCCAGACAGUAGGCUUCAGUUCCCUGCUAGCUCAAGGACAAAUUAUUCAGACAAGCCAGUCACACCCUCCCGUGGGAACCAGGGCUCACUCUGCACUUUUGUUACUACAAAGCCUGCCUCCAGCAGCCCCUCUUUGUUACCGUGUUCCGGAGUGCAGCCUCCACAUUGCCCUGCAUAGUGUGCAGGGUCCUUCUCCCCUGGACUGGAGUAUCUGUGACCAGUCAGCUGCUGUUGAUUGCAUCUGUCCUGCAUCAAGUGUUGUGUGUUGGGCCAUCCCCAUAUCUCUGGGGGCGGGGACAGGGGUGGGGGCAGGAGGGUGGGGGGAAGGAAUCCCUCUUUUAUCAAUGGAGUAAAGAGUCUGUGAAUAAAACGAUUGGCAUCACAAACAGUAUGGCCCAUCCUUGAUUGAGGACCCCUGGUUAGCUUUAACUAGCUGCUGCUUUACUAAGUAGAUGGUUUUGUUUGUUUGUUUAUUUAUUUAUUUAUUUAGAGACGGAGUCUUGCUCUGUUGCCCAGGCUGGAGUGCAGUGGCGUGAUCUCAGCUCACUGCCACCUCCUCCUCCCCAGUUCAAGCGAUUCUCCUACCCCAGCCUCCCAAGUAGCUAGGACUACAGGCGCCCACCACCACACCAGGCUAAUUUUUGUAUUUUUAGUACAGACAGGGUUUCACCAUACUGGCCAGGUUGGUCUUGAACUCCUAGACCUUGUGAUCCGCCCACUUCAGCCUCCCCAAAGUGCUGGGAUUACAGGAGUGAGCCACCGCGCCCGGCCUAGGUAGCUGGUUUUAUAAGGCGGCAAGGACUGUUGAGAACAUCACUGCCAGUUGCUGGCCAGCUUGCCCUUCAGCUAAUGAGUUUUGUUAUCUCAGUAGGUGUUGCCACUUCUUCCCACCCCGACGAACGUUAAUGGACUGUAUCUCCUUGUGAGGUCCUAUCAGGUGUGGCGCGUGUCGGCCAGGUGGUUUCCCAGGCUCCCACCUGGGGGCAGCAGCAACACGACAUACUAACGGGUGGGUGCCUGAGUUCCACUGGAGUGAGGCUAGACUCUGUGGUCUUUGGUCUACCUCAUGACCAUCGCUCCAUCACUGGCUGCUUGGGACAGCCAGGCAGACACUGUUUGGGCAAGUGUUCCAGCAUAGUCCUGGGGACAACCCUUUUUCCUUUCCCCAAACACCAGGGUUUUUGGAUCCAUCACCUGGGAAGAUUUAGGAAUGGCUCCCUGGUGGUCUCUUAACAGCCUAAACACCCCAUGGGCUUUGCUUGGCGGUGUUGCUUAUCUGCAUGCCAAAGGACCAAUCCUGUGGGCAAGGGGCUCGAUGGCCCCACCUGGACCCUAGACAAAAUGAACGUACUAGGGGGAUCCCAGCACUGGGGAGAUUUGCCUGGCCUUCCUGGGGGAGCAGUAUGGCCGCCCACGGAGGCGGCUGCUGGUCUCCCUUUCCCAUAACCUCCCGGAAGAUCCACACCACGAGUGAUUGAUGGGGACAAAAACCCCGGGAUUCGAGAGACCGUUGCGGCGGACCCUUAAAACACCUGGCAAUCCCAUUAAAUUGAAACAUGGUACAUAUUUUGCUAUUCUAGUUUUGGCUAAUACGUUCUAUUUCAAGGGUCUCCCAGCCACAGCUUGCCAGCGGGCAGGCGGCGCCGCAGGAAGUGACCAGGCAAGAACCGGGGUCGCCGCCCAGCUCGGCCUCCUGGUCUGCGCCCUCGGCCUCGGGCUCCAGGCCACACUGGGAGGCCGUGCUGGGCAGGCCCGAAGGGGUGGGCGGGGCCCCGGAAGUGACGUGGGGGCGGGGCCAACGGACCGCGGAGGCGGAGCCGCUACAGUCUGGGCGCUGGAGUGGUGGGAGCAGCGCUCGUCCGCCGUUGGGGACCCCAGCCCGCGCGCGCGAAGCAGCUGGCCGACCGAGCCCCGGAAGGCGAGUGCCGGAGGGGGCGGGACAGCUCCUCCAGGGCCAGCGGGCACCAGGCUUGGGGGCUGAGGCCCAGCGGCCCGAGACCAACUGGGCGGACUGAGGCCGCCUCCCCGCCAGCCAUGGGGUCCACUGCCCUGGGGAGCAUCUCCCUUCCGAGGUCAGACUCGGGCUUCAUCCUCUCUUGCCGCGCGCCGAGCGGAUUUCAACUCUCACUGCUAGGAUUCCUCCAACCACCCAGGAUAGCAGGACCGAGAUACAUGGCCACCCAUGGCCCGGAGCGUCCACUUCCAGGGACAGGCGGUGGUGAUUGGCUUCGGUUGUCAUCUGUGCCAUCUGUCCAUGGUUCGAAAAGCUGCUGUUCACGUUUUGGGGGAGGAUCAUGGUUUGAGGGCCCCCGUGGUAGAAUUUGGGGAGCUCUCAUAGGCAGAAGGCUGAGAAAAGUUGGUGCUGUGGGAAGUCAGCUGGCAGCCGAUGGAGUCAGGACCCGGGAGGAAGGGAAAGGGAACCCAGAUAGGAAGCUACUGGAGUAGGCUCAGAGAGGUGAUGACGGCGGGGCUAAGACAGCGGCCUUGGGCGGUGACUGGGAAGAACAUUGAACACCAUGUUUGGGCUGAAGAAAAGAGCAAGGGAAGAGGUGAGGAGCUUCAGGUGAGGGUUGAUGUAGAUGUUACUUACACAGGUAACAGCAAUUCUUCACCUUUUCAUUGUUUUACAAUGAUUCAUUCUGUCUCUAACAUAUAAUUGUGAUAUUUUCACCUGUAGUCCCAGCUGCUCUGGAGGUUGAGGCAGGAGGAUGGCUUGAACCCAAGAGGUGGAGGCUGAAGGGAGCCAAGAUCGCGCCACUGCACUCCAGCCUGGGCGACAGGGCAAAACCCUGUCUCUAAAAAGAACUUUUUAAAAAAGCACCUGUAGAUUUGAGCACAUAAUAACUACACUUUUGUCUGUUUUAUUAUGAUAUCAAAGUUAAAUUUAUGAUGAAUGACUGGACAAAACUGAGAGCAACCACCACAGAGGUGAAUAUACUGAAUGUAUAACGCUCUCUAAUAAUUUUAAGAAGUCCACUCUAAUGAGCAGAUAUCACAGAAAGAAACUUCUCAGAUGAAAUACCGAUGACCAGGAAAUCUGUGAGACCAUUUUAAAAAAUUCGAAGUCAUUGAAGAAAUGCAAAGCUUCCAGGCUCCACUUUUCACUCAUGAAAUUGGCAGAGUUCGGGACAAUGAGAUGUUGCUGUCCCGGGAGUGCGGAUGGGGCUGUGUCCUGCGCUGCCGGUGGGAAUGUGCACUGGCACUCUUGUCCAGAAAGACAUUCGCCACUGUGGUUUAAGAAGCAUCUCAAAGGUCUUCACCUUGGUCCCUUGUCCACCUCUGCCCGCGGUCUCUCCUCCUUUGAGCCUCCUCUUUCCCACACAGUCCCUCCUGCCCAGGCUUGGUCCCCUUUCUUCUGACUGGGUCAGGCAUCUGGGUGACUCUUUGACUUCCAAGGCUCUGUCUACCUGGCCUUUUUCUUUCACCUGUUCUGCGGAAUAACAGCCUGAUUCGUUCCUCUUUUUGGGUCCUUCACUUCCAUACCUGGGAUUUGGGGCGUGGCCCAGAAAGACCCUGCAGUCAUGUGGUGUGAGGCUGCCAGCAUUUCAUGGCCUCCAAGCUCAGCUGGGCUGAAUGAAUGCUACUGUCCAGCGCUUGGCUCAGUUUUCUGUCCCGUUUUCCUGAGUGCUUUUGCCAGACUUUCACUUUUCUGAAACCUACUCCACCCUACCCCAGACACACCCUCUCUCCUCGGAUGACCUGACUCCUAAUUUCCUGAGAAAACUGGACAUGGCCACCUUUCCCCAGUGUCUAAGCCCAGGUUGACCCGUGGUCAUGGUCGCUGUGACCACCCACCUGCCUGUAUGACAGAGUGAGACCCUGUCAUACAUGGGCAACAGCGUAAGACCCUAUCUGAAAAUACAUAAUAAAAGAAAAAGUUAGCUAGGCGUGGUGGUGCAUUCUUGUGGUCCCAACUACUCAGGAGGCUGAGGUAGGACAAUCACCUGAGCAUGGGAAGUCGAGGGUGCAGUGAGCCAUGAUGGUGCCAUUGCACUCCAGCUUUGGUGACAGAGAGCCAGACCGUGUCACCAAAAAAAAAAAAAGUCUCCUGUGAAAAAUGACAAUUUCCAGUGAAACAAUUAUGAGGAAGAGAUGGGAUCUGCCUGGGCUUUUUCAGUCUUUUGGACAAUCCAAGAUUCCUCUAGCUAAUGACUUCAGAGUUGGUAACAGCUUGUUAGCUUACGGUGUUUCUUUAAUGUUUGUUAAAUGUUCCUGGGAUACAGGUACCAGAUUAUAAUUCACACCAGCCGGGAGGGACAAUGGAAAUUUCUUUAGGAGGCUUACAGGUCCCUUGGACCUAGGGCACCCAACCUUUUGGGAUAUUUAGGAGAAAAAGGAGGGUUUUACUUCCGUCUUCCCUGGGGUUCCAGAUGAAUGUGUCAUCUUGGCCAGUGUUCUUAUGAACUCUAAAUGAAACUGAAGUCACACCUUUAACAUUACUUUAAGAAAGAAUCACAGAAGCCAACCUUAAAUCAUUUAAAAGGAGAAUGAAACUUGAAGCAAUAGAUAGGAAGAACCAUUAUCUGGUCUGUCCUGCAAUUAUUGGAAGUGUUAAAGGAGAUGAAGUUUACAAUGGCUGGGAGUAAUGGCUCAUGUCUCUGUUCCUCACGCUUUGGGAGGCAGAGUGGGGAGGAUCCCUUGAAGGAGUUUGAGGCUGCAGGGAGCUAUGAUUGUGUCACUGCACUCCAGCCUCCAGAGCAAGACACUGUGCACAUCAGAAGAGAGCCCAGCAGCUGCCCAGGCCCUGGUUGGUCCCCAUGGAUGUGGAGCUGUGGCAGGUCAUGCAGAACCAUGUGGAUUGUGCCCUCCAAGCCGGACCGUUCUUGGAUUCCUCCAUAGUGGAGAUAUGGUCACUGACUUCUCCCAGGGGGAAAACAUUCUGUUUUCCCCGCUUCAGAGGUGAAACCUCCUUGCCAUUCACACGCUCUAGUUCAAUAGUAUCUACUCUGGCACUGCUAACCCUCCGGAAGACGCUGUUCAAUCAAGUCUAAAUCAGCCUUCCAGUAGUUUCCAUCCAUUGGGUCUCACCAUACUCUGUCAGCGUGGGGUGGCCAUGGUUUGCUAAGCCUGUUUUUCUUUUCUUUAAAUGGAUGUAACAGCCUUUCUGAAGAUUUUUUUUUUUUACAUUUGCUGCCUGGUACUCAUUUGGAGGCCCGGAGUCCGGCAGAGUUCCUUUCUGUGUUUUUUGUAGUCCUUCAGCGGAGUCUGCACACCUGAUGGCCUAGAAUUGGGCUGGCCCUCAGCAAUCCUGCCCACCCUGUGGGCAAGUAAGUUUGCUCACAGACUUCAGUAGGCCCCAUGUACCUGAGCUUCAAUGGGGUGGGGUUCUCCCCCAGCCAUGUCAGCUGCGUCUGCUCCUCCCUGCUCUCUCUUCCCUCUCUUCUCCCUGCCCUGGGUGCUCUUGUAAUAUCCAGCCUCUGGGUUUCCAACUCAUCUAGUAGGUCUCAGAAGCCAUCACCAGUUUCAGCAUCUCUUUCUGGUAUCCUGGGUUUGUGUUCAGGGCCCCUCCUGUCACAUCUGUAACACUCAACAAUUUAAUGAGCUUCGCUGUGCCUAGGUUUCUAAUCUUUAAAAUGGGUAUAAUAGUAUCAGUCUCAUAGUUGUCUUGAGGAUUAGGUGGGUUAAUAUUUGUAAAGCAUGUAUCAGGUAGGUUAAGAACAGGGUACCUGAGGUAAUACUGCCCAGAUUCAGAGCAGAGCCAGGAAACCUUGGGCAAGUCACUUCUCUGUGCCACAUCUUAUCCACAUCUCUGUAACAUGAGGAUGAUAAUAUAGAGUUAUUGUAAACUUUUAGGCAAUUAUUUCUUGCAAAGCACCUGGAACAGUGCCAGGCACAUGAUAUGGGCUCAAUAAACGUGAGCCGUGGUGAUGGUGACAACCCCCAGGGGGACCCUGUACUUCCUUGUGGGGUUGCCAUUGUGCUGGAGUCUAAUGGCUUAUUUUCCUCAAUAGUUCUCAAGCACUGUCAGAGCAGGGGAUGGUCAUCAGUAUCCUGACUUCUCUUUUGCUUGAGCUCCUGGAUGGUAUCUGGUGUUUGUAGUUUGUAGAUUUCAUUUUCAUCAAAGUUAAUUGUUCCUUCUACUUUGGAAGUCUGAGCAAUAUGCCUUCAGUGGCCAACUGGAGACUUGUGUUUCAAAACUUCGUUGGACUAUCUGUUUAUUGCUGUGAUUAAAUUACGUCACAAAAACCCAUGUACUCAUCGUGGAACACGGAAGCAUGAUGAGUACCACCCGAAUGGAGGGGAUGCAGUGUGGAUGGGAACCUCUGGCCUCCCCGAAGGUGUUGACUCCAGGACUGGCUGCCGAUCCUGCAGCCGAUCUUGCAAUGCUUGCUUUCUUGCUUUAGGAACGCUCACUUCUGCCUUUCUGUUGUAAUUGAUGCCAAUAGCUGCCAGUCCUAAAACGCAUCCUGCAGUGCUUGCUUUCUUGCUUUAGGAAUGCUCAUUUCUGCCUUUCUGUUGUAAUUGAUGCCAAUGGCUGCUGGUCCUGCAACGCAUCCUGCAGUGCUUGCUUUCUUGCUUUAGGAACACUCAUUUCUGCCUUUCUGCUGAAUUGAAGCCAAUGGCUGCCAGUCCUAAAACGCAUCCUGCAGUGCUUGCUUUCUUGCUUUAGGAACGCUCAUUUCUGCCUUUCUGUUGUAAUUGAUGCCAAUGGCUGCCGGUCCUGCAACGCAUCCUGCAGUGCUUGCUUUCUUGCUUUAGGAACGCUCAUUUCUGUCUUUCUGCUGUAAUUGAAGCCAAUAGCUGCCAGUCCUAAAAUGCAUCCUGCAGUGCUUACUUUCUUGCUUUAGGAAUGCUCAUUUCUGCCUUUCUGUUGUAAUUGAUGCCAAUAGCUGCUGGUCCUGCAACCGAUCCUGCAGUGCUUGCUUUCUUGCUUUCGGAACGCUCAUUUCUGCCUUUCUGUUGUAAUUGAUGCCAAUAGCUGCUGGUCCUGCAACCGAUCCUGCAGUGCUUGCUUUCUUGCUUUAGGAACGCUCAUUUCUGCUUUUCUGUUGUAAUUGAUGCCAAUAGCUGCUGGUCCUGCAACCGAUCCUGCAGUGCUUGCUUUCUUGCUUUCGGAACGCUCAUUUCUGCCUUUCUGUUGUAACUGAUGCCAAUAGCUGUGGGUCCUGCAACUGAUCCUGCAGUGCUUGCUUUCGGAACGCUCAUUUCUGCCUUUCUGUUGUAAUUGAUGCCAAUAGCUGCUGGUCCUGCAACCGAUCCAGCAGUGCUUACUUUCUUGCUUUAGGAACGCUCAUUUCUGCCUUUCUGCUGUAAUUGAUGCCAAUAACUUGUAGUUUGCUGCCAUAUCUGAAGCUCUGAUGCUUCCUACAUCUCUCCCAGAUCACUACAAAGAUUUUGAAGUCUCUCAUUCUCUGAUAUUAAGAAUUUCAUACUGGCUUCAGUCUCCUUUAUCUCACUGUUAGGGAACUCUUCCCCUUUUCUGUGCCAUUUAUGAGCACACUUGAGAUGUGGCCACAUUGCUGCCCACUUGCUCCAAGGAACAGCUUAAGCCAGAGUCAAGGCCACCAAACCAGGAAGACAUCCCUAUUGUUCAUAGAAGUCAUCUGGUUGGCUCCAAGAAAAACAUCCAGUGCAGUUGGAUCUGACUUUAGUCUGGAGGUCCUGUCUCUAAAACAAAGGAGAGAAACUCACAACGACAUGUUUCUAGGCAGCGCCUGCUCAGAGGCCCACCCAGGGUAGGGCACUGCCGGGAAAUGCAGAGGCCUGGCCUAGGGCAUUAGGGCUGGUCUUUGGUGACAGCCCUAAUAACAGGGCAGGCCUCUGUUCUUCCCUACACCUUCCUCAUCUCUGGGUUGGCCUCGUCUCCCUCUGCAUUAGUGAUUUUCCCCAGUGCCAUGCGUGGCUCCUGCCAGCCUGAUGCUGGCCACCAGGACACCCGCUCCAAAACAGCCACCCCCAAAUGCCUUUUCCUGAGUGUGCGUGAGUGCGUGUGUCAGGGAGAAUGCUCAUACCCUUCAGUUUUUUACCAAGUGGUAACAUACAGUACCUAUGUAUCCUGCAGCUUGUGGUUUUCACACAAUUGCUUUUUUAAAUGCAGGGAAAAAUUAUACAGUGAAACACAUUCAUCUUGAGUACAAAUUAGUGGGUUAUGACAAAUGUCUGCACCUGUGCCUAAGCAGUACCCUGAGGAGGACACUGAACGUUUCAAUCAUCCAAAAAGUUCCCCAUGCUGUUUGCCAUUCGCCCUCACCCUCCGGCCCCAGCAAGCCAUGUUGAGUCUCAUCAGAGUUCCUUCCUUCACCAAGGGAUAGAAACUCACCUGAUGGCUGCAUGCAGACACUGAGACUCCCGACCCCUCAUUCAUCACAAUUGAUCCCUUACUCCUGCCUGAUUGCUGUCUUCCUGCUCAUAAUUAAAUUCCUUCUCCCGCUAUAUAAUGCCCCCGGCUUUAGUCAGCUGGAGAGAGGGAUUUGAGACUGAUCUCCUGUUCUCUUGGGCUGAUGUCAACCAUAAUAUAAUAAAGUUUUCUUCCCCGGCAUUACUUUUCUUAAUGAUUGGCUUUCUGUGCAGGGCCUAUACUGAACCUAUACUGAACCCCUGGCAUUUCGAUAACAGAUUUUGGUCCACUAAUCAGGAAUGGGUUGCCUCUGGCUGGUGGUCGCAGAUGGGGAGAGUCUCAGAGGCCCUCCUAAGCAGCUGCCUGACCCUUUUUUGGCCAAAGGUGGAUUUCUGUCUGUCUCUCUUUGUCCCCACUGCUGCUGACUCUGUGUUCCUGAUUGUCUAGGAAGAGCAGCCUUUGAAAUGUGACAUAUGCAUCUGACCGGUGUCUUUUGUGGGUACCAGAUGGCAGGAUCUGCUUCUCUCAAUUUGGGUGGGGAAUUGUGAAGGAAUUUGAAUUUGCAGGUUGAGCAAGCCCAGCUGACUGUGAAGAGGGAAGCACCUCAACUGUUUUGGCUUGGAUGGUCUUGGGGGCUUGUUAGUCGCUACUGUGGUUAGAUUGUAUUUUCAUAAUUAUUUAUGUGUGUGUGUGUGGAUAUAGUCACGAGAAAUCAGAAUUUGAUCUUAGAAUGUAGCCCACCUGGGUGCAUUCUUUAGAAUUAGUCUGAAUAUAGUUAUGAGCCAAUGGAACAAAGCAAAAUAAUAUUAUUUUGUAACACUGUUUGGCUCCAGUGUUCUUUGAAGUCUGGGGAGGCUGAGACUCUGCAUAGGUCUUUGAAUUGUACUGCUGUCUUAUAAUUGCGUUCAUUUUUCUUUUGGAUGGGAAGGCGGGAUGGAGUUCCAUGUAUCCAGGCUUUUCUGCUGCUGUCCUAAGCAAGGUCGGGCCUGGCUGCUUGUGAUGUUCUUCAGUGGUACUGUUUGGCCCCAGUAUUCUUUAAAGUCUGGGGAGGUUUGGCCUUUAAAAAUCAAACUGCCAUAGAAAGUGAUUUACCCAAAAUUUUGGUUCACAGCCUUCACUGGGUUACUUAUUGGGGCAAACAAAGUUUAGCCAUGUGAACAUAUUCAUAAACCAGUGAAUUUGCAUUGCUAUCUAAUGGCUAGAAUUCCAGGGUAAAAGCUGCUGGAUCUUUGUAUGUGUGUAUAUGUCUCUGGAUGUUCUGUAUCAUUUUCACAGGGUACCAAAUUGUCUUAUAAAUAAAAAAGAGUGUGCAUAAAUUAGGUAAAUAAGUCCAGUCAUUUUCCAAGUUCAUGUGACUUAAGUAAAUCUUUUAAUAAGCUGGCUUUAACAUUAUUGGUAAAAUGGAAAUGUCUUUGGACUUGUCAGCCUACCUUUUUGUCUGGGUGUUAUAUUUGCUAGAUGUGUUAAGGUGUCAGAGUUUGACAGAAAAGGUUAUAAGACUAUAAACCCAGCCAAGAAGAAAAUAAUCUUAGUGUGUGUGGUUUUUUUGAUAAAUAAGACUAAUGUUGUCGUUUAAUAAAAACAGCUGAAUUUUCUGAGUUAUUGGCAAAAAUACUCAUGUGUUUUAAUUUUAAAGUUCUUAAUUAGGUGAACACCUGAUAUUCAUUGGUUAUAAAAAUGAUUAUCAAGGAAGCAAUGACUGGCUUUGUCUAAUAUCUCAGUUCUCAUAGUUAAUGUAGAAAAAUGGCUAAAAAUGCAUAAAAUAGAAAUGGGGUAAAUGUAUGUGAACUUUUUCUGUAAUUUAAAAAUCUUGAGGUUUUGGCGCUCAUUAGAUGUCUGAGUCAUUUUAAAUUAAGAAAGGGUUAUGAUAUGGGGAAAGAUUUUUUAAAAAAACUAUGGAAGGUUGUCAUCUAAAAUGCUAAUAUCUGGUAAACAGUUCAGGAUUUCUAGCUUCCUAGGUUUUUCAUUAAAAUGUAAGGUUACUAAUAAUUCUAGUUAAUAUGUAAUUCCAUAUAUAAAAUGUGUCACAGAAGUUAUAUCUUUACUGAGAAAAAGAAUAAUAUCUAAUUCAGAAGUUAUCUAAAAGUUGAUUCAAAUUACGGAGUUGGGGCCAGGCACAGUGGCUUAUGCCUGUAAUCCCAGCAUUUUGGGUGGCCAUGGUGGCGGGAUCACCUGAAGUCAGGAGUUCGAGACCAGUCUGGCCAACACAGCGAAACCCCAUCUCUACUAAAAAUACAAAAAUUAGUCAGGCGUGGUGUUGAGAGCCUGUAAGCCCGGCUACUUGGGAGGCUGAGGCAGGAGAAUCACUUGAACCCAGGAGGCAGAGGUUGCAGUGAGCCAAGAUUGCGCCACGGCACUCCAGCCUGAGCAACAAGGGCUUCCCAUAAGGAGAAGCAAUUACACUGCAGAAGGUCUUUCUUUGCCUUUUGGUAACUGGCCUAACGAACAGAUUUACGUUUUAUUGAUAAUUCCUGUGUCAUCAUUAGUUUUUAUAUUGCUUAAAAAUAAAUCUAACAGAAUUAAGGUUUUUACAUCCAUGUAACUUUCUAUAUUGCUUCUAAAGUCCUUCUGCUGUUAAGUUACAGGGCUUUGACUCCUGAGUCUGAAAAAGGCACAGAUUCCUGCUAAAUCUUGAACACUGACACCAGUCAAAGCCUGAUCUUCAGAUCUGGGAGAAGGCGACAAUCGAAAUGAAAUGCUUUCAUGAGACGCAGGGCCAGCAAUUACAAGUAUUCAAUCCCCCUAGGCCCAGGGACCAUCGCGGAAGAGAAAGCCAUUGCAAGAACCAGUGGAAUUUAAAGAUGGAUCAAAUUCCUGGGGAGUUGGAUCACUGGAUGCAUAAGGAAAUCCAAACUAAUGAGGAAAAAGUGAAAUAUCCAUUCCUUAGUUAUUGUUAUCUAUAACAGCUAAAAUUAAAGUAAGAGUGCUGGAUUGGGCCUUGAGGCUGGACCAAGCCCAGAUGUGGGUCUGAGUUUAGAUCACUAGCCUCAAAGCCACCCACAAAAGAGGUACUUUCUGGUGCCUCUCAGACCUGUGGUUUCCAAGAAGGUAGUCAAGGUACGGAAAGGCAAAACGAAGUAACUACUGAAGCCAAAUGGUAUGAUGUGAAGGAAGUGCUCCCUUUUGUAGACUGGUAUCAUCAGCUUCCUUGAGGCGCACCUUUCCUAAUAAUGGAUUGUGAGAAUAACUAAUUUGGAAGCAGUGUCUUUUGUUUUAAAUGCUGCAGAGUGGAAGAGCAUGUCUGGUUAAUAUAGGGCCCACAGCUCACAACUGAACAGUCGUAGAAGGAUAUAUAAUUCAGACACACAGGAGGUUAUUCCUGAGUGUGGACUGGAUAAAAGUCACUGUAAGAUCUGUUUACCCCAGAUAAGUGGAACUGCCCAACUCCACUUAUCAAUGCCACCUGGAGCACCUCAGAUGAAGCAGCUGAUAUGCUUUGUAUGCUAGCCAUGGGGGCCUGGCUUUAAGAGGAUGGGAAUUUUAAUCUUACAUUUUGCUUUUUGACCCUUGUGUUGCUUAAAAGGUUUUCAGGAUUAAUGAGUGCCUACCCACCUCCAUUUCUAUCUGGCCUAGAAUGUUUAAUUGAAAAUCAGUCUUUUGAUUCUGAGUCCCUUGGCCAUAGAAGUCCCACUGAGGGAUAGGAUGGACCCAGAGCAGGCAGCCAUACCACCCCAGCAAUGAUAUGGGACAAAAUAAAAGCUUGGUUAUUGAUGCUGCCUCUGGCAUAUCUUGACCAAAAGGGGCCAAACUAAAAAUAAAGUCCUAAGCCCAUCAUUGACUGAAUGGACCCAUUUGUGGCCAAGGGGACCCCAGUUGCCAGGAGACAAAUCUUACCUGGGGAAAAGUCUUGCCCCUUGCCCUGCUGAAGAUAUGAAUAUCCCAGAAGUGGGGUGGCUCUUAGCCCCUUUGAAAUACUGUACAGGAGACCAUUUCUCCUGAUCACGAGGUCAGGAGUUCAAGACCAGCCUGAACAACAUGGUGAAGCCCUGUCUCUACUAAAAAAUACAAAAUUAGCUGGGCUUGGUGGCACACGCCUAUAAUCCCAGCUACUCAGGAGGCUGAGGCAGGAGAAUUGCUUGAACCCGGGAGGCAGAGGUUGCAGUGAGCAGUGAUCUCGCCAUUGCACUCUAGCCUGGGCGACAGAGUGAGACUCCAUCUCAAAAAAAAAAAAAAAAAAGAAAUAUCUAAGACAGGCUAAUGGGAAUUUUUCAAAGACUUUUUGGGUCAUCUCUAGUUUUGUUGCUUAUUUUCAAUCAAACAAACUUUCAAAGAUACCUGUUAUUUGUCACAGAUAACCGAAAGAACUGACUCUGCAACAACGCUAAAGUCCAGUAACAUUUAUGUGAUAACUUCCCCAAUCCAGAAUAUGCAACCCCCCCACCAGAAAUCAGAUAUGCAUCAAUAUCCCAGCAACCAUAGCCAAACAUUAACACACUUUGCACCCCAGGAAACGUGUAGCGCUUAG